GAUGAACGCUGGCGGCGUGCCUAAUACAUGCAAGUCGAGCGAACGGACGAGAAGCUUGCUUCUCUGAUGUUAGCGGCGGACGGGUGAGUAACACGUGGAUAACCUACCUAUAAGACUGGGAUAACUUCGGGAAACCGGAGCUAAUACCGGAUAAUAUUUUGAACCGCAUGGUUCAAAAGUGAAAGACGGUCUUGCUGUCACUUAUAGAUGGAUCCGCGCUGCAUUAGCUAGUUGGUAAGGUAACGGCUUACCAAGGCAACGAUGCAUAGCCGACCUGAGAGGGUGAUCGGCCACACUGGAACUGAGACACGGUCCAGACUCCUACGGGAGGCAGCAGUAGGGAAUCUUCCGCAAUGGGCGAAAGCCUGACGGAGCAACGCCGCGUGAGUGAUGAAGGUCUUCGGAUCGUAAAACUCUGUUAUUAGGGAAGAACAUAUGUGUAAGUAACUGUGCACAUCUUGACGGUACCUACUCAGAAAGCCCCGGCUAACUACGUG
rnacentral:rRNA from 1 species